rnacentral:rRNA from 1 species
GUUGGGAGCUCUCCCAUAUGGUCGACCUGCAGGCGGCCGCGAAUUCACUAGUGAUUAGAGUUUGAUCAUGGGUCAGAACGAACGCUGGCGGCAUGCCUAAUACAUGCAAGUCGAACGAAGGCUUCGGCCUUAGUGGCGCACGGGUGCGUAACGCGUGGGAAUCUGCCCCUUGGUUCGGAAUAACAGUUAGAAAUGACUGCUAAUACCGGAUGAUAUCGCGAGAUCAAAGAUUUAUCGCCUGAGGAUGAGCCCGCGUAGGAUUAGCUAGUUGGUGUGGUAAAGGCGCACCAAGGCGACGAUCCUUAGCUGGUCUGAGAGGAUGAUUAGCCACACUGGGACUGAGACACGGCCCAGACUCCUACGGGAGGCAGCAGUGGGGAAUAUUGGACAAUGGGCGAAAGCCUGAUCCAGCAAUGCCGCGUGAGUGAUGAAGGCCUUAGGGCUGUAAAGCUCUUUUACCCGGGAUGAUAAUGACAGUACCGGGAGAAUAAGCUCCGGCUACCCCCGUGCCAGCAGCCGCGGUAAUACGAAUCGAAUUCCCGCG